AGAGAUCACUGUGCUUCAUUCAAAUGGGAUCUAUACAAACCAUAAACUGGUUUGCAGGAACCUUCCAAGAAUAUUUCUGCACCGAAACCCCUGCAAUAACUGCACCUUACAUCGUUUCAAGUCAGCUGAGCUAUAUCAAUCCAAGCUCAUAACAGCAAUAAAAGCCACAAUAAGUGGUGUUUGCUGAGAAUUCAUUAAUGGUUGUGUCCCUUCAGUAAAAUACAAAGCAGCUUCAUUUCACUGUGACCAUCAG